GGCCUCGUAACUCUGUUGGCUAGAGCGUUGGCUGUACUAAAGCCUUCCUCUUGCAGGCGUGGGUUCGAAUCCCACCGAGGCCG
rnacentral:tRNA from 1 species